rnacentral:lncRNA from 1 species
AGGGAGUUUGCUUUGGAAACAACUGUGCUGUCAUCCACAAGAUACAGUAGAAUAUUGGGCCAGGAAGAUUGCAUUGGAUAUGAAGAAGAUAUUUUAAAGCAAGGUUGGCCAUGGCCAGCAUCAACCAUGCUCCUGCCUCAGGGCCUUUGUACCAGCUCUUUUCAUUACCUGAAAUGCUCUUCCCCCAGAUAUCUACAUGUCUGAAAUGACUUCUUCAGAUUAAGGAAACUUUUUCAAAUCCACAGCCAGUGAGUUGUACAGUUAGAACACAAUCCUAUAUUUCUGAUCCCAGAACCUGAGCUGGUAAAUACUCUUCCGUUCUGCCUCAUGUUUAAGAAUUUGUUUUCAAGCUUGGUUCCAAAUAAAGAUUAACCUUGG